UUAGAUUUGUUCUGUCCAAUCAGGUCAUCUGAGCUCAUUUUGGUAAGUUCAAACAAAGCGUCUAAGCAUCUCAUUUGUAUUUAAAGCCUAACUGAAAGGCGCACUUCAUAUGCAUCCUCUUGAACUUAAUUUCAUCAAUGAGGGCAUUGUCAGCGGGGAUCUUCUAACUAAAAGCCUUAUUAUUUAAUAUAUAUUCUGUCGGAUGAAGAUGUGACAGCAUCAGCUGCGACCUGAAGGAGUUAUUUCUGGAAAUGAAAGGAAAUCUUUCUAUGAUUGAGCGUUAUUUCCGUCCUAAACUGACGACCUUACAGGAAGAUGCGCGAAUACAUUCAGCUCUUUGAUCAUCACAGCUUGGUAUGGAAGAAGACUUGACCAUCUUUUACAGUCGUCAGCACUGAAGGCAGGACCCAUGCAGAUUACAAAAGGAAAAGGAGUUCGGUGUGGGUGAGGCCUUUUCAAACUGCUGCCAGAAAGAACCAGCGCACCUGGACUUCACACCUGCAUCAGCCACUGUUUGUCAAUGAAAUACCACGGGGCUGGAGCAGGCUUACUUCUGACUUGAGAAAAGGUCAGUGAAGAUCAGGACUUGGAGUUAUUUUGAGCUCUGAGCUGAAACAUUCUGACUUUUUAAACUGGACUAAAAUAUUUGAAUGGGAUGUAACGUGUGUUUUCAAACAAAAACGUGAAGCAAAUUCUUUGCCUCUCUGAAAGUGUUAAACAAAUAAUUUUGUGGACGUGUAUUAUGAUAGUAGAUUCAGUACAAAAUAUCUUCUCUGGCUCUCAAAGUUGUAAUAUUUGUUCUUGGACCACUAAGACAAGGCAACAGAACGCUGGAAAUAAACCAAGAAAACCCCAUUCCCCACCUCCAAAGACACUGCUAGUCAAAUGUUCCGUUGGACCUUGUGCCUCCCACAGAUUACAGCUAGCAGUCGGUGUCUGUUGCUAUGGCAACAGUAACAUUAACAAAAAUAAAGAAAUAAAAAAUU